CCCCGUGACAAGAGAAACUGUCUAUUUUCAUUCAACUCACUUUGUUCGAGUCUAAGGUGCAAUUAAAAUGACUGCUGCUUCCACACGAGCGCGUGGGUGCUUACAGCGUACUUCACAGCACAUUCCGUGGCAUUCAUUGUGAUAUAAAGACAAUAAAAGGCCGCUGAUAUCACCCGAGCUCACAGUUGGGCAAGGGGAAGAGGAAAAGUCUCAGCCGUAAGUUGCUCCGACGUUUUCGGAGUUGAUAAGCGGCCCCGUCGACCAUCCAGAUGACAGGGCGGUCAGCGCUCCCGGUGCCAGCCGAGAGCAGCCUCAUCUCGGCGAGUCCUUGCGGAAGGUCCCGCUGGCUCUGUCGCGGUUCAACAUGAGCAAUUUUUCAGUUUUGGGUAAAUCGAACGAUCAAGCGCUGGUCUCAGAGCUUACAGGUCUCUUCUGUGAAUCUUUAGGAGGAAGAAUCCUGAUGUGGCCCCAGCAACAUGGCAGAACAUCAUGACCAGCUGGCCUCCACCUUAUUCAUCUCCUCCACCUCAUUCACCUCCUCCACCGCAUUCAUCUCCUCCACCUCAUUCACCUCCUCCAUCUCCUCUGCUUUGGGGAAAUGAGUCGCUCUGUGCAGGACGGUCGUCAUUUUCUGCACAACGGCAUGUUGAUGCUGUUCCUGGAAGCCUGACAUUUUCACAUCAACUCUUUUGCUUAGUUGUGUCUUUAGAAUUUUAUACAUAUUCAUUUAACUAUUUAAUAAAUGUAACUAUAUGAAUUGUCUGGUAUGAAUUGUUGAUAAAUACCAGAAUUGAAUCUUCCUCUAACAUCUGACCUGUGUGGUCAGGUGUCUGCUUGAGAUAUUUCUGUCUAAGCAGUGUAAUCGCUCAUGUCAAAAAGUACGUAUAUAAAUGACUAAUGAUGUAUGUGACACAGAUGAGGUACAGAUACUAAUUACAUUUAUAUAUGUUUGUGGGCCUAAUUGUACUUGUCCUGUUUGCGUUCCAAGAAGACAAGUAACGGGAGGUACGUAUGUGGAAUGUAGGUUAAUCUAUUGCAAUAUGAAUUCAUUAUUAAAAUACCGAACCUCUGUACCUGUCAGUUUAUUAGGUACACCUAGAUAAAGCUGAAGUUAUGCAGCAGUCCUGCUUUUUUGCUUUUUAUGUGAUCAGUUUUUGAGUUUUGGCUGUCCGUCCCAUAUGAAUGAGUAUAGACCAAAUAUUAGAAACACCUCUCAGUAAAACAGUUCAAUGGCAGUGAUUUUGAUGUUGUGGAUGAUGGGGUUGCACAGUGUAUAUAUACAUAUAUAUAUGUGUGUGUGUAUGUGUAUGUAUACAGUAUUAAACUGCAUUAGUUUUUAUAUUGGUGUACCAAAUGAACUGUGAGGUCUAAAUAAAUGGGUCUACCCAUAUAUUGUUUCAA